rnacentral:hammerhead_ribozyme from 1 species
AGCCGAAACGCCCUCCGGGGCGUCGGGUGCGGGCUGGCCGCCGACCCCUGAUGAGGCAGGCCGUA